rnacentral:rRNA from 1 species
CUUAUAUACUAUCACGACGCCCAAAAAGUCGUGGCUUGGGUUUUGCCAGCUGCGUGAUCUCCUCUAUGAGUAAUCAGUGAGGUGCCAGAUCUAUGGCGUUUCCCUAAUGUAUCCGGAUGCACCCUUGUCUUGGCAGAAAGCCGUGGUGAGGUGCAGUGGCGGAAUCGUGGUUUAAUAAUCGGGUUGGUACUCAGUUGUCAGUGUGUUUGGCGAUCCCCUAGUCGGCACACUUAUGAUUUCUGGGAUAAUUCCAUACCAGGCACGUUCCGUCACUGUCACUUUGUCAUUGGUUUGAUGCUGAACUUGGUCAUGUGUCUGAUGCUAUUUUCAUAUAGCGACGGUACUCAUAUCCGCUGGCCUGUCUUC